rnacentral:rRNA from 2 species
UGCAGUCGACGAGCUUCCGUUGAUGACGUGCUUGCACUGAUUUCAACAAUGAAGCGAGUGGCGAACUGGUGAGUAACACGUGGGGAAUCUGCCCAGAAGCAGGGGAUAACACUUGGAAACAGGUGCUAAUACCGUAUAACAACAAAAUCCGCAUGGAUUUUGUUUGAAAGGUGGCUUCGGCUAUCACUUCUGGAUGAUCCCGCGGCGUAUUAGUUAGUUGGUGAGGUAAAGGCCCACCAAGACGAUGAUACGUAGCCGACCUGAGAGGGUAAUCGGCCACAUUGGGACUGAGACACGGCCCAAACUCCUACGGGAGGCAGCAGUAGGGAAUCUUCCACAAUGGACGAAAGUCUGAUGGAGCAAUGCCGCGUGAGUGAAGAAGGGUUUCGGCUCGUAAAACUCUGUUGUUAAAGAAGAACACCUUUGAGAGUAACUGUUCAAGGGUUGACGGUAUUUAACCAGAAAGCCACGGCUAACUACGUGCCAGCAGCCGCGGUAAUACGUAGGUGGCAAGCGUUGUCCGGAUUUAUUGGGCGUAAAGCGAGCGCAGGCGGUUUUUUAAGUCUGAUGUGAAAGUCUUCGGCUUAACCGGAGAAGUGCAUCGGAAACUGAGAGACUUGAGUGCAGAAGAGGACAGUGGAACUCCAUGUGUAGCGGUGGAAUGCGUAGAUAUAUGGAAGAACACCAGUGGCGAAAGCGGCUGUCUAGUCUGUAACUGACGCUGAGGCUCGAAAGCAUGGGUAGCGAACAGGAUUAGAUACCCUGGUAGUCCAUGCCGUAACGAUGAGUGCUAGUGUUGAGGGUUUCGCCCUCAGUGCUGCAGCUACGCAUAGCACUCCGCUG